AAAAAAGCAAAAGGUCCUCAUCAGGACAGAAAGGCGUACCCCAGCUCUGAAAAGAAAUGUGCAGUGAACUAUCAUGCAAAUUCACUCUAUCGCUUCAAGGUCUGUGCAGGAUGCCAAUAUGAAACCUCCAAUGGUCUUCAAGAGCUGUGGGGGCCAUAUAGCCCCAGUGCUCUUUUCUCAACUUAUAAGCAUUACUCCGGGCAUGGCAAAGGCAGUGGGGGUAAAAGAAAAGGCAAACACAAUGGGAAAGUGGGAAAGUACAGGAUAGGGUUCGCACUUAUUGCUGUUUUGUGUGCUGUUGCUAUUCAGUACUUCCUGUUCAUAAAG
rnacentral:lncRNA from 1 species